AAAGGGCCGCGGUAUUUUGACCGUGCAAAGGUAGCAUAAUAAGUAGUCUUUUAAUUGGAGACUGGAAUGAAAGGUUGUAUGAGGGACAUGCUGUCUUUUCUCUUUCGUUUAGAAUUUAACUUUCCAGUGAAAAGGCUGGAAUUUUUUGGUGGGACGAUAAGACCCUAUAAAACUUUAUAUAUUAACUUUGGUGGUCAAAUUUAAGUUUAAUUGGGACUUAUGUAAAUUAUAUUUCGUUGGGGAGAUGUUGAUAAAAUUUGUAACUGUCUUCUUAAUUUAAUAAUUAUAGUUAGUUUAUGAUCCUUUAUUAUGGAUUAAAAGACUAAGUUACUUUAGGGAUAACAGCGUAAUUUUCUCUGAGAGCCCCUAUCGACGAGAAUAGUUGCGACCUCGAUGUUGAAUUAAAAUUUCAGAUUGGUGUAGCCGCUGAUCUGGUGGGUCUGUUCGACCUUUAAAAUUUUACAUGAUUU
rnacentral:rRNA from 1 species